UACGAAGGGGGCUAGCGUUGUUCGGAAUCACUGGGCGUAAAGGGCGCGUAGGCGGCUUUGUAAGUCGGGGGUGAAAGCCUGUGGCUCAACCACAGAAUUGCCUUCGAUACUGCAUGGCUUGAGACCGGAAGAGGUAAGUGGAACUGCGAGUGUAGAGGUGAAAUUCGUAGAUAUUCGGAGGAACACCAGAAGCGAAGGCGGCCAACUGGCCCGAUACUGACGCUGAGGCGCGAAAGCGUGGGGAGCAAACAGG
rnacentral:rRNA from 1 species